rnacentral:rRNA from 1 species
CCCAAGAGAUCGGGAUAACACCUGGAAACAGAUGCUAAUACCGGAUAACAACAGAUGAUGCCUAUCAACUGUUUAAAAGAUGGUUCUGCUAUCACUCUUAGAUGGACCUGCGGUGCAUUAGCUAGUUGGUAGGGUAACGGCCUGCCAAGGCGAUGAUGCAUAGCCGAGUUGAGAGACUGAUCGGCCACAUUGGGACUGAGACACGGCCCAAACUCCUACGGGAGGCAGCAGAG